CAGACGCGGCCGGUGCCAACCGCGGUAGAGGGCGGCGGUGGGGGGGGGGUCCUCUCAGGGGUGCUACUGGCAGGCGUGGGCCACCGAGGAUGGGCCUGGGACGCACCCCCACCGCCUGUUUCUGGAAAGGUGCACGGGCUCUCAAGACUUCCUCUCCCUCCUCCUCCUCCUCUUCCUUGUCUUCUUCCUCCUCCUCCUCCUCCUCCUCUGGUUCUAGGCUCAAACUUCAGACGAUUCCCACGAUUCCCACAGGAGGCUGGAGAAUGAAGCUCUGAGGAGGGAGCUUGAGAGACGGGACAGGAAGGAAGAGACCCAUCUGUCUCCUGGCUCCUGAAAGGCAGCACCGAGAGGGGGGACAGAUCAGUGAAGGCUCAGAGCAGCCCCAGUGAAGCUCCAGCGGGGCCCUGCUCCUUCUCCACCCCUCCCCCGGGGGCCCUUGGUUUCAGCAGCACUCUGGGGUCCCUGUUGCAUCAAAGAAGGGAGGGUGGCAGGCAGCGAGAGAGGGAGGAGGGGGUCAAGAGGUCUGGAAGGAAGGAGACAAGAAACAAGGAAUAGGAAGAAGGGGACAGAAUCUGAGGACGGUGGGCAGAGAAGGAAGACAGGACAGUGACAGGUCAGGUGCAUGCGUGUGCACACACAUACACAACACACACCUCAGCACUCCUGUCCACACUCAUCCACCUGCCUGCACAAGGACCCACAUGCCCUCACGUGAGCCAGAAUGCAACCCACGCCCACAGUCUUCUGUUGGACAAAUGGGCCCUUACACACACGACCACAUACCCAGGCAGGCACCUUCCAAUCCAGGAAAGGAAUUAAGAAGCCCAACAAAAUGCCUUCUCCCCUCCAUACCCAAAGAUAAAUAAUUCAUUUGUUGUGUAACCGCUCUUGUUCCAAAAAUAAUUCCCUUGUCUCAGCUUCCACGGGGGAGGGGGAGCACAGCAGCAUUACCGUGCCCCCCCCCCAAGCCGGGGUCUCCCACAGGGGGAGGGCAUGGGGAGAACUCAUUUCUACAAGCAGGACCAGAGCCAAGGGAGAGAGGGUGAGAGUCUGGGAGGCCAGACACACCCCCAGCAUCACCUCCCUUUCCAUUAGAGGGCCCUGAUCCUGUAGCACAGGCCUGCAGCAGGCACCGUCCCAAAGAGUGUGGCCGAAGCCCUGGAUCCCCUCCGUGGCUGGAGAGCCAGAGGCUCGGAGAGGGGCAGCGACUUGCGCCUAGUCCCACAGCACAGCUCAGGCCAGGAUCAAGGCUCCCAAGGCACCAGGAGUCAGGAGGUCUGGAGCCCCCUCCACCCAGCCCAAUUAGCCAGAUGGAGCCAACCACCUCUGAAUGUGUUCCACAUUGUAAAGUGGGGACCAGAUGCCUGCCCAGCCAUCUGAUGGGGAAGAAGUAAGGGGAGCCAUGCUGCCGAAGCCCGAGAUGCAGAGGAGCAGACUUGAUGGCACAGGGUGUGCACCAGCUCAGAACGCCAGCGCAGGGGUGUGCAAGCAGACGCGUGCAAGCAGACGGAUGUGCAGGCGGCCGUGUGUGCGCAUACACACCCAAGCGCCCAGGAUGCAGGCACCUGUAGCCUGCCAGAGAGUAUUCUCAGGCCAAGAUGAGGAAAUGGGCUCAGAGAGGUGCAGUGAUCUGCCCAAGACCACACAGCAGGGAGCCAGGGCCUGCCUGAGCUCUUAGAACCGCAGGACUUCCCAGAAUUCCUGCUGAGGCAACUUCCCCCAACUUGCAUACCCCUAGUGACAGGGAUCUCAGCACCCAUCUGAGGCUACUUAAACCCUUCUGGAACGGC